rnacentral:rRNA from 1 species
GACGAACGCUGGCGGCGUGCUUAACACAUGCAAGUCGAACGGAAAGGCCCUGCUUUUGUGGGGUGCUCGAGUGGCGAACGAGUGAGUAACACGUGAGUAACCUGCCCUUGACUUUGGGAUAACUUCAGGAAACUGGGGCUAAUACCGGAUCGGAGCUCCUGCUGCAAGGUGAUGGUUGGAAAGUUUCGGCGGUUGGGGAUGGACUCUCGGCUUAUCAGCUUGUUGGUGGGGUAGUGGCUUACCAUGGCUUUGACGGGUAGCCGGCCUGAGAGGGGGACCGGCCACAUUGGGACAGAGAGACGGCCCAGACUCCUACGGGAGGCAGCAGUGGGGAAUAUUGCACAAUGGGCGGAAGCAUGAUGCAGCAACGCUGCGUGCGGGAUGACGGCCUUCGGGUUGUAAACAGCUUUCGCCGGUGACGAAGCGUGAGUGACGGUAAUGGGUAAAGAAGCACCGGCUAACUACGUG